AUAUGGUAGGAGAGCGUUCUGUAAGCCUGCGAAGGUGUCUUGUAAAGGAUGCUGGAGGUAUCAGAAGUGCGAAUGCUGACAUGAGUAGCGAUAAAGAGGGUGAAAAGCCCUCUCGCCGAAAGCCCAAGGUUUCCUGUUCAACGUUCAUCGGAGCAGGGUGAGUCGGCCCCUAAGGCGAGGCAGAGAUGCGUAGCUGAUGGGAAGCAGGUUAAUAUUCCUGCACCGUCGUAUGAUGCGAUGGGGGGACGGAUCGCGGAAGGUUGUCUGACUGUUGGAAUAGUCAGUUUCUGGUUCAUAGAAGGUGCUUAGGCAAAUCCGGGCACGUAAUUCAAGGGACUGGGACGAGCGGGUUUAUCCUGCGAAGCAAUCGGAAGUGGUUCCAAGAAAAGCCUCUAAGCUUCAGUCAUACGAGACCGUACCGCAAACCGACACAGGUGGGCGAGAUGAGUAUUCUAAGGCGCUUGAGAGAACUCGGGAGAAGGAACUCGGCAAAUUGGUACCGUAACUUCGGGAUAAGGUACGCCCCGGUAGCUUGAUUGGUUUACUCCAUGAGGGUGAAAGGGUUGCAAUAAACUGGUGGCUGCGACUGUUUAAUAAAAACACAGCACUCUGCAAACACGAAAGUGGACGUAUAGGGUGUGACGCCUGCCCGGUGCUGGAAGAUUAAAUGAUGGGGUGCAAGCUCUUGAUUGAAGUCCCAGUAAACGGCGGCCGUAACUAUAACGGUCCUAAGGUAGCGAAAUUCCUUGUCGGGUAAGUUCCGACCUGCACGAAUGGCGUAACGAUGGCCACACUGUCUCCUCCCGAGACUCAGCGAAGUUGAAAUGUUUGUGAUGAUGCAAUCUACCCGCGGCUAGACGGAAAGACCCCAUGAACCUUUACUGUAGCUUUGCAUUGGACUUUGAACCAAUCUGUGUAGGAUAGGUGGGAGGCUUUGAAGCGGGGACGCCAGUUCUCGUGGAGCCAUCCUUGAAAUACCACCCUGGUUUGUUUGAGGUUCUAACCUUGGCCCGUGAUCCGGGUCGGGGACAGUGCAUGGUAGGCAGUUUGACUGGGGCGGUCUCCUCCUAAAGUGUAACGGAGGAGUUCGAAGGUACGCUAGGUACGGUCGGACAUCGUGCUAAUAGUGCAAUGGCAUAAGCGUGCUUAACUGCGAGACCGACAAGUCGAGCAGGUACGAAAGUAGGACAUAGUGAUCCGGUGGUUCUGUAUGGAAGGGCCAUCGCUCAACGGAUAAAAGGUACUCUGGGGAUAACAGGCUGAUUCCUCCCAAGAGUUCAUAUCGACGGGGGAGUUUGGCACCUCGAUGUCGGCUCAUCACAUCCUGGGGCUGUAGCCGGUCCCAAGGGUAUGGCUGUUCGCCAUUUAAAGUGGUACGUGAGCUGGGUUUAAAACGUCGUGAGACAGUUUGGUCCCUAUCUGCCGUGGGCGUUGGAAAUUUGAAGGGGGCUGCUCCUAGUACGAGAGGACCGGAGUGGACGAACCUCUGGUGUACCGGUUGUCACGCCAGUGGCAUUGCCGGGUAGCUAAGUUCGGAAGAGAUAACCGCUGAAAGCAUCUAAGCGGGAAACUCGCCUUGAGAUGAGAUUUCCCGGAGCCUUGAGCUCCUUGAAGGGUCGUUCGAGACCAGGACGUUGAUAGGCUGGGUGUGGAAGUGCAGUAAUGCAUUAAGCUAACCAGUACUAAUUGCCCGUACGGCUUGUCCCU
rnacentral:rRNA from 1 species